GAUCGGGGGGAAAAAGGGAUUAUGGGAAGAAGGUCUGGGCGCCUGGCAGCUGCCAUUAUUGUCCGGCACGUGGAGUGUUGCUUCCAGGGGAUCUGCAGCAUGGCCAGAGCCCUGGAGAGGCAUCCCACCCCUGGAGGAGUCUGCCAGAGAAAAACCUGCUGUGUUAAAGGGGGUUAGCAACAUGAACCCCAGCCUCUACUGGUCAUGCUUUCUGUCAGAACCACAUCCUGAAGAAUAAUAGUGUGACUGCAGUCCCUCUCUGUAUGGUGCUGGAUUCUCAGAGGAAGACCAGACUCAUCUCACGGCCACUUCAAGAUCAUCUCUACUCCAAUCGAACCACAUCUGUCAUCAUCUCUACUCCAAGAGAACCACAUCUGUCACUCCAGGAGGACUUAUUUGGACUGCUUCCAACACCCUGGCCAACAGGGUGUCAGGUUGUAUUCCUGACUCUGUCAAGGUUUUCUAAGAUGUUUUUUUUGUUUGCUUGCUUGGUUUUUUUGGUUUUUGUGGGAUUUUUUUUUCUGUUGGUUUUUUUUUUUAUUAUUUUUGUAUUACUGCGCUUGCAUUUUUAAUAUUCCCGGUAAAGAACUGUUACUCCUAUUCCCAUAUUUUUGCCUGAAUGUUCCUAAUUGCAAAAUUGUAAUAAUUUGGAAGGAAAGAGUUUUACAUUCUCCAUUGCAAGGGAAACUCCAGUUUUCUCUGACAGAUACCUGUCUUUCCAAACCAAGACACCUGGGAGGAUGGCAAAUGUCAGUGAUUUCACAACUGGUUUCAUCAAUUUUUUGCUUUUAUUUUUUUUCCCCUUCUGAAACUUGCAGAUUUGUAAAUAAAAUAUUUUCUAGCCUUUAAAAUCUAGUAUAAAAUAUCUGGGGUUUGAUGUUUGCUGGCACAGUGUUGGUGGUUGCACUGUCAUCUGGCAGCAUCCCAGUUGCAAGGCGUGCUCAUGGGGUAACCAGACCACGUUGAAGCUCUUGCUUUAUCCUGAUCUGGUGCUCAAAAAGAAGGAGAAAAGAGAAAUUUCCCCAGACUAGAUGCUAAAAUAGAGGUGUCAUGAUGGGAUGUGUCUGGCUGAGGGACACUGAGUCUUUGCUUGAUGCCUUUUUCAGAGCUUGCCUUUGCAUAGGGGGAGAUGCAACAGGGUCCCACAGUCCCAUGGGAGCUGCCCUCAUCUUACCCCAUGAGUCUGAUUUCCCACUUCCCAAGAAGUGGAAGAUAAGCUGGAUUUUUGACUGACAGACACCUCACUUUAAAACUAUAAAAAGCCACACCAAACUUUCACAAAGCAGAAACUUUCUAUAGGUUUCCCUGGAAAUGUGUGGUGUUUCCCCCAUGAGUAGGGAUGCCUGCUUCGAGGUUACUCCCCAGGGAUUAAGUAAAAGGAAUCUGUGUACAUUAUCAUCAUUUCGGUAGUAAGUUACAUUUGACUCCUAAUCAAUACUAUUUCUUUUGCUAGCUUUAAUACAGAUACCUUAAUAUCAUGCACUGUUUUAUGUUAUGUUGCAAUCUACUGGUAGUUCUUUUUAGUUUUAUACUGUGCAGUAACUCUGAUUGAGAUCUUUUACCUGUUAUCUCUUGUCUGUUUAAUAAAUAAUUCAUUUUAUAAAUAGACCUGAUCUGCCAUCCUUAGAACUUGCAGACCA